rnacentral:tRNA from 1 species
CAAAGAGUAGCUUAAACAAAGCAUUCAACUUACAAUUGAAAAACGUUAAAUUCCACCUAACCUCUUUGC